GACGAACCGUGCGAACGUUGUUCGGAAUCACUGGGCUUAAAGGGCGCGUAGGCGGGCUAUCAAGUCCGGGGUGAAAUCCUCCAGCUUAACUGGAGAACGGCCUCGGAUACUGAUGGUCUCGAGGGGGAUAGGGGCACACGGAACUGUGGGUGGAGCGGUGAAAUGCGUUGAUAUCCACAGGAACUCCGGUGGCGAAAGCGGUGUGCUGGAUCCCUUCUGACGCUGAGGCGCGAAAGCCAGGGGAGCGAACGGG
rnacentral:rRNA from 1 species